GGGCUGGCCGGGCGGUCCGCCGUUUCGGUGAGUACUGCCUUUCGGUCGGUCCUUUCCUUCUGGUCAACCGGUGUGCCCUUCAGUGGGUGUGCCGGGGAGCCAGGACUUUUACCUUGAAAAAAUUAGAGUGUUCAAAGCAGGCGCACGCUUGUAUAGAUUAGCAUGGAAUAAUAGAAUAGGACUUUGGUCUUAUUUUGUUGGUUUCUAAGACCACAGUAAUGAUUAAUAGGGAUAGUUG
rnacentral:rRNA from 1 species